GUGAGGCGAACGGGCUUCCAUAUGUGGCUGAAGGUGGGUAACAGCCAGGUGCGGGUGCAUAAGAGUGGGGUUUGUCCUUUGGCGGCUUGUCGCAGGGAGGUGGUGAGCAGGGUGCACCAUAGGGCUGAUAUGAUGCCGGUGCACCAUAGGGCUGAUAUGAUGCCGGUGCACCAUACGGCUGAGAUGAUGCCGGCGCACCGUAUGGCGCACCGUACGGAGGAAAGACUCCGAAUGGUUGGGGUUGAGGUUGGGGUGGCGGU
rnacentral:misc_RNA from 1 species